GCUGCUAACUGCACACCUAUGCUUACAUCCAAACGGACUAAACCAAGUGGAAACGCUUUGGACGAUGGCCCGUGCAAAGUCAUGCCACCAGUCUGAGGACAUUAAUGGGAAUGGCACAUGGGACACGUGGCUUUCAACUCCAGCGAGCACACGGCACAGGUGGGCUUCACCGCGGGCAAUCGUGGCAAAGACCCAAGUCGACUGGACCACAGCGGAAAAUGAUCGUUCCAGAGAAGAAGUAGUUAUUUACUUCUACAACGAAUGGAAGAGUGACAACUUCCAGAUGACAGCUCUCCACUCAUCCUUCUGGGCAACUUGAACAUCCGACAGAACUCGUGUGACCUACUGCGUUUAUUUUCUCCUUUAGCUCUCAUUUAAGUAUUAAAAUUCGCUGUAUUUUUGCAAGAGGGGCACCAAUCCUAUUUGAGUGACGUUUCGAAUUGUACUUGUAUUAGAGCAGACAGGUCAUCUGCAGAGCGUUGGCCCCUGUUGCAGUAGAUGAGGGGUUGAUUCUUGGCAUGUUAAUACUUCUUUUUUUUUUACCUCUUAUUAAGGUGUUGUACUUUGUACAUCGCCCGCACUUAUUUAAGAAGACUCCUCAUGUGACUUUAAAUGUGUUAAAUGAAUCCAGAAUGUAAUAUUUGUUCAGUAUGCAGGGGCAGUGAUUUAUUUAGUCAUAUUUUGUUGUUUUUUUACAUGACAAUAUGGUUUGGUACAUGCUGAGUUAAUGAAUAUACAUUCUAAAGUGCGUGAAUAAGAGUUGUAUACGUUUAUCAUAGUCAACAUGGUGUGGAAAUAUCCCUUAUGUAGUUGGUCAAUUGGAACUGUAUUAGGCAGUAAUAACAGCUAAGGUAAUUACAGGUGGAUAUUUCUGUGAAUUAACCUUGAUUGAGACUGCGUCUAUAAGAUAUACAGGACAAGAAACAUGCACUGGAUGUAAACUGUACGUGUGUUGAAU